rnacentral:lncRNA from 13 species
GUCAAUCCCACCAAUCUGUGUCACGCACCAUGGGCAGAUGUAUCGAAGGUGCGUACCUGAGCUACUUUUUUUUACGUUACAAUCUGACGACAUUACAGAAGCCUCAAAAAUAGGUGUUUAACAUAGCGGCAAAUCUGAUGCCCAACUGUGCAGUCGAUGACGUGGCACGCAACCAUUGGUUGAUGAAAUGUAGUCCGUCUGGAAUGUGACCCUUGUAACAUGACAUCAUAACUCUUACUAUACAUAUCGCACCCCUUUAGAGAACAGUUAGUCAUGGUAUGGCUGUGCUGUUGAUGAUAACUGAAGGGUAGGGAAACAAUGACACAUGUCUGUUUAUAAAUGUACACGAUUAUAAAUGUAUACAUUUAUAAAGGUUUCUAAAAUGUAAAGAUGUUAUAUCAUCAUGCUAUGCAACCAUAGAUAGGGCAUGAAACAACAACAAAAACAUUUUGUGUUGUCUAAUUCUGCAGUUUGCAAGCUGGUCUUAUGGGUUGCAGUUUGUGUGACCUUCAUUGUCAUGGGUGCUGUGUACGCUGAUGACUGCCCAGUGAAACGUGUCAUCCCUAUCCACAUGAUCAUUUCUGGAUCUUUCGGGCUCCUCUAUGUAUUCUUCUCCUGCUGCAAGGACCGUGUUGUGUGCCAACAUUUGUCUAAACUAUUUUGGUUCAUGAUCAUCAUCUGGCUCAUUAUUGGCCAUUUUUGGACCUUCUCUGUAUUCCAACCCAACUACGCACGGAAAGAGAUCAUCGGCAACACAGUAUACUGCAACAAAUUUCUAUACCUCUUUGUGGCCUCUACCACCAUCAUAUUGGACAUUAUUAUAUGUAUGUGGCUGCUUGUGUUGUUUGAUGUAUGUACAUGCUUCAUACUUUGUCUGGUCUGCUGUGUCUCUUUAUGCAAGUCUGACGAUGUCAAACCUGUGCAGGUUGUUGAGCCUUUGACGGUUGUGGAGACUGAGGACUGUGUUGAACCUAAGGAGUGUAUGGGGGCUGAGGUGUGUAUGGGGAUUGAGGUGUGUGUGGAGACUCAGGAGAGUGUGGGGCAUGACGAGAGUGUGAAACAUGAAGAGAGUGUGGAGAGUAUGGAGUAUAAGGAGUAUGUGGUAACUGGGCAGAGUGAGUCCAACACUGCUCAUUAUUAAUGCAAUUCACUAUUCACAAUACCAAUAGUACAUGAAUUUGUCUAUUUUGGGGGGUGAGAUCAUGUAAAAAUGCAAUCAAUGGGUCAAUUUGUGCCAUUAUGUUACCAAAAAUCUGAAGAUUAAAAUAAAAAUAUUAAUUCCCACUUUGAUUUUCAAGAUUUAAAAUGUACCUUGGUAGACAAAUAUUAUCGUUACCAUUUUUGAGCAGAAUGAUAAUCAUUUGGCUAAUAGGCUGCUGUUCCACUUCACAAACACCCGCCCUGAAAUAGUUUAGUGGAACGCCCCGAAAACGCACACCCAAAGAAAAUGGACUGGUGUGUUAAAAUGCCUGGGCCGACUUUUGGUCCGAUUUUGCCCCUGCUGUAGUUCGUAAAUCAUUACAAUUAUAAUAACUAACUGGAUCAAAUUGUGUGACCAUUUUGUGGAGCGAUGCACCGAGGGUGACUGUUGAUGUGUGCAGAGGGUCCCUGGGUCGAGCCCAGGUUGGGGCGAGGAGAGGGAUGGGCUCAAGUUAUACUGUUACAUAAGUGUGCCUUUUGUAAGAAAUACAAUUAUUUAUGUAGUUCUGUCCUUGAGCUGUUGUCUAUUAAUGUUCUGUAUUAUGUCAUGUUUCAUGUUUUGUGUGGACCCCAGGAGAGCACAGAGAGGCUGCUGCCUAUAUACACAGACUUGAAAUCCCUGGCCACUUUAAUGAAUGGAACACUAGUCACUUUAAUAAUGUCACUUUAAUAAUGCUUACAUAUGUUGCGUUACUCUUCUCAUAUGUAUAUACUGUAUUAUAUGCUGUUCUACUGUAUCUUAGUCAACGCCCCUCUGACAUUGCUCGUCCAUAUAUUUAUAUAUUCUUAAUUCAAUGCCUUAACUUGGACUGUGUGUAUUGGGUAUAUGUUGUGAACUUGUUAGAUGUUACUUCUUAUUUAGUACAGCACUGUCGGAGCGAGAAACACGUGCAUUUCGCUACACGCGCAAUAACAUCUACUAAACACGUAGAUAUGACCAAUAAAAUGUGAUUUUACUUGCUUUUGCAAUAGCUAAUGGGAAUCCUGAUAAAAUACCCCAAAUACCAAGCUUAUGGGUCUACUGUCUGUUACCAAUAUCAGCAAUAUUAUAUGCAGCAGCUUGUUUACUUGGAAUAAACAGAGCAAAUAAUGCAAAUGAAUACAAAGUCAAACAGAGACUAAAUCGAAGUUUGAAUGUAUUAUGGCUCAAUUGAAUUGAUAAAAUGUGCGUUGUGUUCUUCCACAAUAAAAAGGCCAGGGCUUCUAGACUGGUGUGUUUCAUUUGACCUACUCUAUUUGAGUUGGCAUAAUUCAAAUGGUUGCCAAUCUAUUCAAAUGAAGUUGUGCUGCCUUACUGUAACAUUGUAAAUUGUCAGUCGCCCGUACCGUUUCGAUAAGGUAGCCAACAGUAGCUUGUGAUCUUGGCUGCUUUCAGUCGCCCGCAGCACCAGACGUGGGACCGCAAGAGCAUGCGCUGUCGAGAGCGGUGGCUCCGUCAGUUAAUGAGAAAUGGUGAAAUUGAAUUAUUUUCUGACUUUCCCCAAGCGCAGAUCUCUCAGUAGUAGUGUUUACUUCACUGACACACGCACAACCAAGGUAAGUUUACCAUAUCGCAAUCAAAUACAUUUGACAUGUUUUGCCAAAUUCUGUAAAGGUUUUUAAUUGAUCUUUUUUUUUUAUCAUAGCCUACAUUCUAUUGCCGAUAAUCCAUGGAUGCGUUCAUUGGACAUAGAGUAGACGAAAGAAUAAGAGCCUGAUCAUUACUGGUUAUCAAUUGUCUGCAUAGGUUCUUG